rnacentral:rRNA from 1 species
UACGUAGGGUGCGAGCGUUGUCCGGAAUUAUUGGGCGUAAAGAGCUCGUAGGCGGUGUGUCACGUCGGCCCGUGAAAACCUGGGGGCUUAACUCUGGGCGUGCGGUCGAUACGGGCAUCACUAGAGUUCGGCAGGGGGAGACUGGAAUUCCUGGUGUAGCGGUGAAAUGCGCAGAUAUCAGGAGGAACACCGGUGGCGAAGGCGGGUCUCUGGGCCGAUACUGACGCUGAGGAGCGAAAGCAUGGGUAGCGAACAGG